rnacentral:rRNA from 1 species
AGGGCGUUUGGUGGAUGCCUUGGCAGUAAGAGGCGAUGAAGGACGUGAUACUCUGCGAUAAGCUUUGGGAAGUCGAGAAUAGACGCUAUACCCAAAGAUCUCCGAAUGGGGCAACCCAACUGAUACUUUGUUAUUGUUACACUUUUGUGUAAUCAAUAAUGGGGUAAAACAGUUAUUAAUUACCUGAAUACAUAGGGUUUUUAAAGCAAACCUGGGGAACUGAAACAUCUAAGUACCCAGAGGAAAGGAAAUCAAUAGAUACUCCCGUAGUAGUGGCGAGCGAACCGGGACCAGCCGAGCGAUGAAUGUGACUAGAACCAGUUGGAAAGCUGGGCAAUAUGGGUGACAGCCCCGUAUAGGAAGCAUGAUUUGACGUAUUAAGUAGGGCGGAACACGUGAAAUUCUGUCUGAACAUGGGGGGACCACCCUCCAAGCCUAAGUACUCCUAUUCGACCGAUAGUGAACAAGUACCGUGAGGGAAAGGUGAAAAGCACCCCGACGAGGGGAGUGAAACAGCUCCUGAAACCGAACGCCUACAAACAGUUGGAGGGACCUUGAGUCCUGACAGCGUACCUUUUGUAUAAUGGGUCAUCGACUUGGUCUAUCUAGCAAGCUUAAGCCGUUAGGUGUAGGCGCAGCGAAAGCGAGUCUUAAUAGGGCGAUUGAGUUAGAUGCAUUAGACCCGAAACCGAGUGAUCUAGGCAUGGCCAGGUUGAAGGUAAGGUAACACUUACUGGAGGACCGAACCCACAUCCGUUGAAAAGGAUCGGGAUGAGCUGUGCCUAGGGGUGAAAGGCCAAUCAAACUCGGAGAUAGCUGGUUCUCCGCGAAAUCUAUUUAGGUAGAGCGUCGCACGAAUACCUUGGGGGGUAGAGCACUGAAUGGGUAAUGGGGACUCACCGUCUUACUGAUCCUAAUCAAACUCCGAAUACCCAAGAGUAAUAUGCGGCAGACACACUGCGGAUGCUAACGUCCGUAGUGGAGAGGGAAACAACCCUGACCCUCAGCUAAGGCCCCUAAUUCAUGGCUAAGUGGGAAAGCAGGUGGGACGACCAAAACAACCAGGAAGUUGGCUUAGAAGCAGCCAUCUUUUAAAGAUAGCGUAACAGCUCACUGGUCUAAUUAAGUUGUCCUGCGGCGAAGAUGUAACGGGGCUCAAGCCAUGAGCCGAAACUUCGGAUGCAUUUAUGCAUGGUAGCGGAGCGUAGUGUGACAUAGUUCCAUGCGUCUUUAACUUCCUUCGGGGAGUAUUGGACGCAAGGAGCUUUCUGUGAAGCCGGCCUGUGAGGGAUCCGGUGGAGAGAUCACUAGUGAGAAUGAUGACAUGAGUAACGACAAAGGGGGUGAGAGACCCCCUCGCCGAAAAUCCAAGGGUUCCUGCUUAAAGCUAAUCUGAGCAGGGUGAGCCGGCCCCUAAGCCGAGGGCGAAAGCCGUAGGCGAUGGGAACCAGGUUAAUAUUCCUGGGCCAGGAGGAAGUGACGGAUCAUGAAGAUUGUUGGAUCAGGCGUAGUUGCCCCAGCAGUUAAUUGGUUCCUGGAAAUAGCCCUCCAUCAGACCGUACCCUAAACCGACACAGGUGGAUAGGUAGAGUAUACCAAGGCGCUUGAGAGAACUAUGUUGAAGGAACUCGGCAAAAUACCUCCGUAAGUUCGCGAGAAGGAGGCCCGGUUUCUAGGCAACUGGAAGCUGGGGGCACAAACCAGGGGGUGGCGACUGUUUACUAAAAACACAGGGCUCUGCGAAGUCGUAAGACGACGUAUAGGGUCUGACGCCUGCCCGGUGCUGGAAGGUUAAGAGGAGGUGUGCAAGCACUGAAUUGAAGCCCCAGUAAACGGCGGCCGUAACUAUAACGGUCCUAAGGUAGCGAAAUUCCUUGUCGGGUAAGUUCCGACCUGCACGAAUGGCGUAACGACUUCCCCGCUGUCUCCAACAUAGACUCAGUGAAAUUGAAUUGCCUGUCAAGAUGCAGGCUUCCCGCGGUUAGACGGAAAGACCCCGUGCACCUUUACUACAACUUUACACUGAUAACAGGCACAAUAUGUGCAGAAUAGGUGGUAGGCUUUGAAGCAGGGACGCCAGUCCUUGUGGAGCCUCCUUUGAGAUACCACCCUUAUUUUUCUUGUUAUCUAACUGCGGUCCGUUAUCCGGAUCCAGGACCCUGUAUGGUGGGUAGUUUGACUGGGGCGGUCGCCUCCUAAAGAGUAACGGAGGCGCGCGAUGGUAGGCUCAGGUUGGUCGGAAAUCAACUGUGAGAGUGCAAUGGCAUAAGCCUGCCUGACUGUGAGACUGACAAGUCGAGCAGAGACGAAAGUCGGUCAUAGUGAUCCGGUGGUCCCGCGUGGAAGGGCCAUCGCUCAACGGAUAAAAGGUACGCCGGGGAUAACAGGCUGAUAACGCCCAAGAGUCCAUAUCGACGGCGUUGUUUGGCACCUCGAUGUCGGCUCAUCUCAUCCUGGGGCUGGAGCAGGUCCCAAGGGUACGGCUGUUCGCCGUUUAAAGAGGUACGUGAGCUGGGUUUAGAACGUCGUGAGACAGUUCGGUCCCUAUCUGCCGUGGGUGUAGGAUACUUGAGAGGAGUUGCCCCUAGUACGAGAGGACCGGGGUGAACGAUCCACUGGUGGACCAGUUGUCGACUACGGCAGUGCUGGGUAGCUAUGAUCGGACAGGAUAACCGCUGAAAGCAUCUAAGCGGGAAGCCCCCCUCAAAACAAGGUAUCCCUGAGGACCGAGGUAGACCACCUCGU